UACGUAGGGUGCAAGCGUUGUCCGGAAUUAUUGGGCGUAAAGAGCGUGUAGGCGGCCCGAUUAGUCCGCUGUGAAAGUCCAGGGCUCAACCCUGGAAUGCCGGUGGAUACUGUCGGGCUAGAGUCCGGAAGGGGCGAGUGGAAUUCCUGGUGUAGCGGUGGAAUGCGCAGAUAUCAGGAGGAACACCGAUGGCGAAGGCAGGUCUCUGGGCCAUUACUGACACUGAGAAGCGAAAGCAUGGGGAGCGAACAGG
rnacentral:rRNA from 1 species